rnacentral:misc_RNA from 1 species
GUGAAUCAUCGAAUUUUUGAACGCAAAUUGCACUCUCUGGUAUUACUGAGAGUAUGCCUGGUUCAGGGUCUGUGUAAAUAAAAAUCGGUGUGGUUGCUGCCUUUCUUGGUGACGCACCGGGUUAGUGUCGGUUUUCCUUCUUUUAAGUGACCUAAAAUUUUGUUUUAUUUUUUUCGAACGUAUUUAAAUGACUUUACGUACGUUUUCUAUAUCUAGUACUAUGUGUUGUCAUCCACAUUCUUC